AGCUUUGCUGCUUCAACUUUUGCCCAAAGCUCUUAUCUUUCAUACUCCUCCCUUCUCGGCUUUCCUGAACCUGGAGACUAUUUAGCAAAGGGUCUGGCCACUCAGAAAUGGAAAGCUGGGGAUAUUUAGAAAGAUGGCACCUCUUUUGGUGGAACCUAAGUGAUUCUCUGAAUCCUCUGUUGCCCAGACACACAACUCGAGAAAUCAGCAGUGCCAAGACUUCUGAGAGUGUCUGCCCACCCCUGACUCCACCAUCGUGUGACUGCAAUUCUCUUGGAGGUGUUAGGGAGCCAGAGGUGCUUUGCCCUCUUUGUGUUACUAUUUCUUUACUCAAAAAUAUUUAAGAGUUCUUGUAUGCUUGGGCCUAGGAUGCUGUUCACAGAGGAGAAUGAGACAAGUAAGUUCUAGGCUUCUAUGACAUACACAUUCUUAUGUGUAGAGCAGACAUACACACACUGAUCAACUUUUUCCAAUAGUGAUAAAUGUGUUAUCAAGGAAAUGAACUGGGCAAUGAGCUAUUGAGUGUUGGAGGUAGGUAGAUAGGGUUCCUCCAGUUAGGAAGGUGGUUGGCUGAUCUUGGGGAGAAGUUCUACCUCUGGGGCAGUGAGGUCCUAAGGGAUUAAGUUGAGAGACUCUAGAGCCCCAACUUCUGUUACUGCUUUAGCUGUCGUGAGUAAUUUGACAGAGCUGGAGCUUUGGGAGGGAGAGUGAGGCCACAGUUCACAUUUCAUCAGGGAUGAGUGUCUCCAGGGCCAAAGCUCAUCUACUUUCUUCCCUGAUGAAAGAGGCAGUCCAGGUGGCAUCUGUGAACAACACAUUCCUGCACAGGUAGGUGCACAGUGCUCAUCUGGAAGACUAAUCCUGCAGGGCUUCCUGGAGGAGAUGAGCCUCCACUUUUCGGGGCCCAGGAUGGGAAAGUAUGUGAGCAUGUGUCACUGAAGGGACUGUGGAAAGCAGAUGGAAAUUGUGGAAUUCUCUCGGAACAAUGCAGCCAUUAUUAGAACUGUGCCCAUAGGAGCAUCAAUAUCCCUGCUCCUUGUAUCCUGUUCUCCAGUCUUCUGGGGACCCCCUUUGACUGAACCCAACCAAAUGGCAGAUGACAAGGCAGACCCAGGAUGCAGUCUGUAGGGUUCAGUCCCCCUCCCCACUGGGAACAGCAGGAAAGGGCAAGGUGGUGACAAUCUAAGGGAGGCAAAUGGAUAAUAACCAGCAUGGUAGGGAAUCUUCUUUGUUGCUGUGGCACUGUCGAUCUCUGUUCCCUGAACUCUAGUGUCCUCCAGACUAGAUUUAAGGUGUGGUUCCCCGCUAAAUUAUUCUCUCACCUCCUUUCAGUCUUUGCUCAAACAUCCUUUUAUCAGAGAGGCUUUCUGACAUCCUGUGCAAGAUAGCACCUCUCCCCCAUCGCUGUUAUCCUUACCCAGUUUAAUUCCACGUAGCAUCUGCCAACGCUUGACAUAUUUGUUUUUUGUUUACUUUCUGGCCUGUGACAACUAGAAUAUAAGCUCUGUGAGAGCAUUUUUCUCUUAACUGCUUAUCUUCAAGUAAACAGAACAGUGCCUGUCCUGUAGGAAGUGUUUGAUACAUACAGAUUGCUCAAAUGAAAAAAGAAGGGUGCGAGCAAGCCUGGACAGGCCUGGUGCCCCAGGGCAGCCUUGCCUUUUCUGAAGAGAAUGGCUGCCUUAGGCACGGCUCUCCUUGCUGCCCAAGCCUUGCCACCUUGAAAGGCGUGAGAGGGUCACUCCCAGGUGUAUUCAAGCAAGAGUGCCUGAGCCACUCUUGCUUGGCAGUAUGGGAGGAUGAAAUAGUGUGUUCAUAAAGUGCAUUUUAUUUUUAAAGCAUUUCAGUUUAUGUUGCUGAAACCUGAGAGCGCCCCCCUGAGCUAGACUCAGUAAUCAUUAGACACAUUUUUGGAUAAGCAAACUGAAUCAGAGAAGGUGAGUGGCAAAGCCCAUGUAGCUGGUGGCAUUACUAGAACUUAGCACUGUGAUGCACAAAGGCUUAACUGGGUUUGGCAGCAAGGGUCUCAUGGAUACUCUUUAAGAUGUAGGCCCAGAUCUCUUAGUAGUGAAUCCCUGAUGUUCCCUCUCUUGGGGCUCUGGUUUAGCAAGGACAGCGAGGAUACUUUCCUCUCUCCCUCCUCCUUACUCCUCUCUACUAAGGAUUAAGGAGCCACCUCUUCCUCCUUAAGGCCUUUGGGAGAGAUGGGUCUCCUGGUAUUAGAAAGGAGAGCAGACGCCUAGAGUUCUGACCUCUUGGGCCUCCCCUAAACAAAAAGCAUAGCCCCUUCACUACCCUAGUAACAAGUAUGACCUGUUGCCUGUUGAGGUCAGGUGUACCUGUGUGUCUCUCUCUGUGAUGUAUGUGGGCUUGGUGUCCACAUCAAUGUGCGUGAAUACUCCUACCCACAGACUGCUACUGUGCCAAUAUAGAGGUUCAUAAGAAAGAUAAAAGAGAACCAGCAGAACCCCAGGUUCUGCCUCUCCUUCCUCCCUUUGCCCAGAUAAAGGUGUACAGUGUUUGUGGUGAGGCUGCUGGACACUGCUGUUUUGGGCUUUCUAGAGAGAAUGCAAACAUGCAAAAACAGUGUGGUAGUGUAGGCAGAACAAGAUCUAGAAUCAGAAGACCUGGAGUCGAAUCUCAGCUCCAACACCCACUGGAUGAACGUGGACAAGCUGCUUGAUCUCUCAGAUCCUCGAUUUCUUCAUCUGUAAGAUGGAAACAAUAUGUGUCUUUUCUAAGGGGAAAGAUCAAAUGACAUCAUGUAUGUGAAAAUGCUUAGAAAUGGGUGAUGAUGAUGAUGAUGAUACUGAUUAUUAGGGUAUCUAAUAAAGUUGGGGAAAGAACAAAAUCCCCCCCUCACACCCUAUUGCACCACCAGCCUUCUCCCUCCCUGCUCAAUUAUACCCAUGUUAUAGGGAAGGAAAUAGGGAAGAAACUUGUCUAAGGUCACAUGGAUGUUCGCAACAAUUGGGAUGCAGAACUUGAUCUGACUCCCAGGCCAGGUUUGAUUUUGAUUUGCAGUGGCAGAGAGGACUAAUUUUUUACUAGGUUCUGAGCCCUGUACUGAACUCUGGAUUGCCCUGUACUUGGUGGUGGUAUACAGUUCAGCAGUUUUUAGCAUAUACACGAAUUUGUGCAGCCAUAACCACUAUCUAAUUCUAGAACAUUUUUAUCACCCCCAAAAGAAAUCAUGUACCCAUUUGCAGUCACUUGCCAUUCCCUCUUCUCCCCAGCCCUGGGAAACCACUGACCUACCUUAUAUCUCUAUGAAUUUGCCUAAUCUGGACAUUUCAUAUAAAUGCAAUUGUACAUGUGGCCUUUUGUUUCUGGCUUCUUUCACUUAGCAUGUUUUCAAGGUUCAUUUGUGCUGUAGCAUUUAUCAGUACUUUGUUCCUUUUUCUAGCUGAGUAACGUGUGGGUAUAUCACAUUUUGUUUAUUCAUCUGUUGAGGGAUGUUUGGGUUGUUUCUACUUUUUGACUAUUGUGAUUAGUGCUGCUAUGAACAUUGAUGUACAGAUUUUUGUGUAGAUAUGUUUUCAAUUAUCUUGGGGCAUCUUUUAUUUUUAAUGUCAGUUUUCUAUUUUUAAAAAAUCUAGACAGGUUGGCAAAUCAUUUCUGUAAAGAGUCAGUAAAUAUUUUAGCCUUUGUGGUCCAUGACAUUAGGUAUACAGAUUACAAUUUCUGAACUCUGCCAUUCCAGUGUGAGAGCAGCCAUAGAUAAUAUGUAAACAAAUGAGCAUGGCUAUGUUCCAAUAAAACUUUUAAAAAGCAGGGGACAGAUUGGGCCUGUGGACCAUAGUAUACCAACCCUUAAUCUAAAUGACACAUUCACAUGAUACAUUAUUCUAAAGGCACAAAAAGCAAAAAUUCUCCCUCCCACCUCUGUCUUCCAGCUACGGGGUUACCUUCCUUGAAGCAGUUAAUGUUAUGAGAUUUUGUGUCUCCUUUUAGACACAGUUAAUAAUGAGCAUUAAAGUGGCUAUAUACUA
rnacentral:lncRNA from 10 species